ensembl:scaRNA small Cajal body-specific RNA 6
AGUCCAUGGUGAGUAGUGAAAGGUCUGACUCCCAGGGUCCCCUCCCCGUACCCUUUGCAUCCCACUGGGCUCCAGGAGUGCCGUGAUGGGCAGAAGGGCAUCUGGUGCUGGGCAAGGCCCCAGUGCUGUGCUCCUUGGCCAGCACCCCACAGCUAGCCACAGAGCGGUUUGAUUGUUGGGAGUGCUGGUAUCUGUGGUUAUGGUCUGACAUUUCAAGCUGAGACC